AACACAAAGUGUGACAACUGCAGUAACGACGACAGCAACGAUGACGGUUCCUGAGCUAACACCUUCGGCCAACCUACGUCUUACAGAAGUGUCACCGGGCUUGGGUAGAAAAGAUACGAAAUACUCUAUGUACCACUUUCUUGAUCGUGAAAAUCUUCCAUGGAAUAACCCAACUCUGCUCCGCAUUUCACCCAAAAGAGUUCUGCCUGCACCCAACCGACUUGAUCAGAUCGCAAUGACCAGCAAAUUUUACCACAAGAUAUUGAUAUUAAUGGAGCAUUCAGGUCAGGUUCUCUAUCACAUCCUUUAAAAAUUAUCCCACGCCUCAUUUCCCAUAUCUAUCCUAAUUUAAUUAAAUAAACCUAUUUUCUUCUUUUUUUAAUGACAUUUUUUCAUUCUUCCACUUACAAAAUCCAUGGGGAAUAGAUAUAGUCAUGUAGGGAACGAAUAGUGAAUCUUUACAUUUAGAGCAUUCCCAGUAGGUUCUUAAUCUUUAUCGCUACGUUUUAACCAAAAUACACAUUUUUCUAUUAAUUUUGUUUAUUUUUUACCACCUCUCACAUCAGAUUCUCUUAUCUCUAUUUCUAUCUUACUCACAAACACUUAUUUUAUUGUUUUUCUCGUUUCAUACACUCACAAAAUUAUAAUCAGAGAUGAAUAGCGAGUCUCAAUAAUUAGAGAAUUAAUGUAGGUUCUCUAAACCUUAUCUCUAUUUUAGAGAUGAUGAUGAUGGAGGGUGCAAAUGAAAGAAAACCUCAUACUUUUUUCUACAAUUUUGAGAAAGUGAUAAUAUAGAGAAUCUGAUGUGAAUGCUCUUAAGGAAUCACUAUAGCUACUUUAAAAUUUUACUUAUUUUAGGGAUCCCGACGGAAUGGUAACUUAGCUGAUUUCUCUUAUAAUUUAAAGAUAGUGUGGGGAUAGAGAACCUGAUGUGAAUACUCUAAGAAUCUCUAUCUCCAUCUCAAUAAUUUAACUAUAUAUCACAUUUCUCUAAUACAUAAUCAUACAAGAAUUGGUAGUUCCUUUAGUAGUUUUCAAACAAUUCAAUUCAGACAUUUUCACAAACACCUGGUGGGCACAAGGUAGACCUUUUUCUAGAUUAACAAGAAAACAAAAUUCAAAACAUUGCAUCAUCCAGAUCACAAAUGAAGCUCAAAGUGAAGAGAGUAAUACCGUAUCAUCAUCCAUAGUUUCCUCCGAAUCGAUUCGAUUGUCAAGAGUAGUUACUUGUUGGUGAUCUCUGUCUGCAUCUACAGCCUCUACCAAAGGGGAAACUAUAAUAAUAAUAAUAACUGACACAAUUAUAAUAAUCACCCCUUUGGCGCGCAUUCUUUCUUGAAACAUCAAUUCGAAUCAUUUCAACCAACAAUAAACACCAAACCAAAUUAACAUCACCCCAGAUCAUAAUCGAGAAUUAGGGUUCAAAUUCUUUGUUUUCCAACCUCAAAUUGGACCUAAAAUGUCCUCAAUUUGUUUAAUUAAACAAUAUAUAAUGAUCAAACUCUUGAUUAAUUAGAUUCUCGAGCAAACAGUUUGGUGGACUAUUUGAAGGAUAAAUUAUGAUUCAGAUUGAUUGUAUAAAACACGACGGAGAUCCACGGUGGCCGGAGUUAUGAAACCGGUGGCCGGUGACGGGGGAAACGUGAAUUAACGGUCGGAAUACGAUGGUUUUUUUCCCCAAUUUUGUUUUUGGUGUGCAUUUUUUUUAAUUCUUGAAGUUAUGUGAUGAUUUGCAAUCGUACGUUAAUAUGAUUGAUAAAUAAGUUUAAGUUUUAUGUUA